GGGGUGGCCGCCCCCGGGGGGUCACAGCGGGCUCGUGUGCGCCGGGUGCCCGGGCCGGGGUGGCCGCCCCCGGGGGGUCACAGCCACCGGGCAGCCGGUGCGCAGCUCCUGGCUGGAAAUCUGGUCCUGCAAACGCAGCGACUGCGGGUAACAGCCCGGCGAAAGGGGAGCGAGGAGGGGAAAAACCUUCUGAACUUGGCCGUGUGGUCAGUGCAGUAUUGUGGGUUGGGGGUUUAGAAAAGCUAUGAACCUGGCUGGAAAGCCUCUCCGUGAUUCAUCCCGUUUUCACCCUGACUUUGGUACCCAGUGUUUCGGGAGAGCAGAUGCGUCUGUGCUUUUUUUUGGCUUUUUGGGGAGCCGUGAUGUGUGCUGGGAAGGGGCUUCUCGACAUGACCGGCCCUUUGCCUGCUCUGCCGCGUGCCUUGCUGGUUUCCCUGGUACUCAGUCCUGCCUAGGCGGACCUGAUGGGAGCCCGCUGGAAAAUUCCUAAGGACUUGAAGGUCCUGCGCCGCGCGGGAGGGAGACCAUGUUCCGCUUGCGAGUCGGUGCCCGCAGCCCGAGUCUCCGUCUGUCCCUACACGUGACAUGGGCUGAGCAUCCCUGUCCUGACAGUGGGAGCGGGCUCUGCUCAUUAGAGAGUGUUUCAAGCAACUCCGUUCAUAGCCCACAGGAACAUGGGAUUUUAAUUUACCCACUUGCUUCAGAGCUCGAAAAUCCACUGCUGCAAUCAGGACAGUUGCAGCUUUGAUUAAAAAUCCUAAAGGCAAGUCUCGUGUGUUUUGCUUCCUCCCUUCUACAAGCAGAAAGAAGAUUGGGUGCAUAAAAUAAUGAUGAGCGAGUUCAAAGCCAUCGCAGAAAGCUGCCCUGAGAGGACGUUCUCUAAUGCGACUCCAGCCCUUUACCGUUCUUCUUCCUCGCUGAGUGAGCGCCAACACAACAGACACAGUCUGGCAAGAGCCACUGCCGACAGUCCCCAAAUGCAGAAAUGCGCCUGCUGCGUGCGUGCGGGCGAAGGAGCCACGGCAAAGGCUUUAUUAGAGCAGCUUCCCUCUGAGACACGAGCAAACAAGCUGAGGACUGCCAAAUCAAAUCUUUCCGCAGGAAGCAGAAGAACAAGUUAAGGAAAGAGCCUGAGACCUUCCAGUGUCCGUGGAUCUUUCCACUGAAACUUCUGGCAAAGUUCUGUGACCUCUGUUUAAUCUAAGGGUUGCGUCAGCUGACAAUAUUGCUAAAAUUAAAAUAAAAAUAUAGCCA